rnacentral:rRNA from 1 species
GGGCAGUAAUACACGCAGUUCGACGGGGCGCGCAGGCUGAGGCUUUUCGGAGCGGAAGCCUGCGCUGCCCAGUGGCGGACGGGUGAGUAACGCGUGGGCAACCUGCCCUGCACUGGGGGACAACAGCCGGAAACGGCUGCUAAUACCGCAUAUGCCCGCAGCCCCGCAUGGGGCGGCGGGGGAAGCUCCGGCGGUGCAGGAUGGGCCCGCGUCUGAUUAGCUGGUUGGCGGGGCAACGGCCCACCAAGGCGACGAUCAGUAGCCGGCCUGAGAGGGUGGACGGCCACAUUGGGACUGAGACACGGCCCAAACUCCUACGGGAGGCAGCAGUGGGGAAUAUUGGACAAUGGGGGGAACCCUGAUCCAGCGACGCCGCGUGAGUGAAGAAGUAUUUCGGUAUGUAAAGCUCUAUCAGCAGGGAAGAAAGAAAUGACGGUACCUGACUAAGAAGCCCCGGCUAACUACGUGCCAGCAGCCGCGGUAAUACGUAGGGGGCAAGCGUUAUCCGGAUUUACUGGGUGUAAAGGGAGCGUAGACGGUUACGCAAGUCUGGAGUGAAAGGCGGGGGCCCAACCCCCGGACUGCUUUGGAAACUGUAUAACUGGAGUGCANGAGAGGUAAGUGGAAUUCCUAGUGUAGCGGUGAAAUGCGUAGAUAUUANGAAGAACACCAGUGGCGAAAGCGGCUUACUGGACUGUAACUGACGUUGAGGCUCGAAAGCGUGGGGAGCAAACAGGAUAAAUACCCUGGUUAUCCACGCCUAAAAAAUGAUCCUAAGUGUCGGUGGGGAUGGGCCCCCCCGUGCCGCCGCAAAUGCAUUAAGUGAUUCCCCGGGGGAAUAACGUUCCCA